rnacentral:rRNA from 1 species
AGCGAACGCUGGCGGCAGGCCUAACACAUGCAAGUCGAACGAAGCACUUUUGAUUCUUCGGAAGAGAAAGUGACUGAGUGGCGGACGGGUGAGUAACGCGUGGGUAACCUGCCUUAUACCGGGGGCUAACAGUUGGAAACGACUGCUAAUACCGCAUAAGCCGACAGGGCCGCAUGGCCACGGUGGAAUAGAUUUAUCGGUAUAAGAUGGACCCGUGUCUGAUUAGCUAGUUGGUGGGGUAAUGGCCUACCAAGGCGACGAUCAGUAGCCGGCUUGAGAGAGUGAACGGCCACAUUGGGACUGAGACACGGCCCAAACUACUACGGGAGGCAGCAGUGGGGAAUAUUGCACAAUGGGGGAAACCCUGAUGCAGCAACGCCGCGUGAAGGAAGAAGUAUUUCGGUAUGUAAACUUCUAUCAGCAGGAAAGAAAAUGACGGUACUUGACUAAGAAGCCCCGGCUAACUACGUGCCAGCAGCCGCGGUAACAC